ACACUCCUGCGGGAGGCAGCAGUGGGGAAUUUUGGACAAUGGGCGAAAGCCUGAUCCAGCAAUGCCGCGUGUGUGAAGAAGGCCUUCGGGUUGUAAAGCACUUUUGUCCGGAAAGAAAUCCUUGGCUCUAAUACAGUCGGGGGAUGACGGUACCGGAAGAAUAAGCACCGGCUAACUACGUGCCAGCAGCCGCGGUAAUACGUAGGGUGCGAGCGUUAAUCGGAAUUACUGGGCGUAAAGCGUGCGCAGGCGGUUUGCUAAGACCGAUGUGAAAUCCCCGGGCUCAACCUGGGAACUGCAUUGGUGACUGGCAGGCUAGAGUAUGGCAGAGGGGGGUAGAAUUCCACGUGUAGCAGUGAAAUGCGUAGAGAUGUGGAGGAAUACCGAUGGCGAAGGCAGCCCCCUGGGCCAAUACUGACGCUCAUGCACGAAAGCGUGGGGGGCAAACAGGAUUAGAUACCCCUGUAGUCCC
rnacentral:rRNA from 1 species